rnacentral:rRNA from 1 species
GACGAACGCUGGCGGCGCGCCUAAUACAUGCAAGUCGAACGGGUCUCCUUCGGGAGGUCAGUGGCGGACGGGUGAGUAACACGUGGGUGACCUGCCCCGAAGUGGGGAAGUAACGCUGCGAAAGCAGCGCUAAUACCGCAUAUGCUUAACGGUCCAAUCUGUUAAGCAAAGCAGCAAUGCGCUUUGGGAGGGGCCUGCGGCAGAUUAGCUAGUCGGUGGGGUAAUGGCCUACCGAGGCGACGAUCUGUAGCUGGUCUGAGAGGAUGACCAGCCACACUGGGACUGAGACACGGCCCAGACUCCGUACGGGAGGCAGCAGUAAGGAAUAUUCCACAAGUGGGGGAAACCCUGAUGGAGCGA